AGCAGUCGCCACGGUAAUACGUAGGUCCCGAGCGUUGUCCGGAUUUAUUGGGCGUAAAGCGAGCGCAGGCGGUUAGAUAAGUCUGAAGUUAAAGGCUGUGGCUUAACCAUAGUACGCUUUGGAAACUGUUUAACUUGAGUGCAAGAGGGGAGAGUGGAAUUCCAUGUGUAGCGGUGAAAUGCGUAGAUAUAUGGAGGAACACCGGUGGCGAAAGCGGCUCUCUGGCUUGUAACUGACGCUGAGGCUCGAAAGCGUGGGGAGCAAACAGGAUUAGAUACCCCGGUAGUCCCUGUCUCUUAUACA
rnacentral:rRNA from 1 species